rnacentral:rRNA from 1 species
UCUGGACAGUACUGACGCUGAGAUGCGAAAGCGUGGGGAGCAAACAGGAUUAGAUACCCUGGUAGUCCACGCUGUAAACGAUGUCGAUUUGGAGUUUGUUGCCUAGAGUGAUGGGCUCCGAAGCUAACGCGAUAAAUCGACCGCCUGGGGAGUACGGCCGCAAGGUUAAAACUCAAAUGAAUUGACGGGGGCCCGCACAGCGGUGGAGCAUGUGGUUUAAUUCGAUGCAACGCGAAGAACCUUACCUGGUCUUGACAUCCAUAGAAUUCUGCAGAGAUGUGGGAGUGCCUUCGGGAACUAUGAGACAGGUGCUGCAUGGCUGUCGUCAGCUCGUGUUGUGAAAUGUUGGGUUAAGUCCCGCAACGAGCGCAACCCUUAUUCUUUGUUGCCAGCGAUUUGGUCGGGAACUCAAAGGAGACUGCCGUUGAUAAAGCGGAGGAAGGUGGGGACGACGUCAAGUCAUCAUGGCCCUUACGACCAGGGCUACACACGUGCUACAAUGGCGUAUACAAAGGGAAGCGAAGGUGCGAGCUGGAGCGGAUCUCAUAAAGUACGUCUAAGUUCGGAUUGGAGUCUGCAACUCGACUCCAUGAAGUCGGAAUCGCUAGUAAUCGUAGAUCAGAAUGCUACGGUGAAUACGUUCCCGGGCCUUGUACACACCGCCCGUCACACCAUGGGAGUGGGUUGCACCAGAAGUAGAUAGCUUAACCGCGAGGGGGGCGUUUACCACGGUGUGAUUCAUGACUGGGGUGAAGUCGUAACAAGGUAACCA